rnacentral:rRNA from 1 species
CAAUAGCGUAUAUUAAAGUUGUUGCAGUUAAAAAGCUCGUAGUUGGAUUUCUGGUAGGAGUGACCGUUCCGAACUUGAUUGUUCGUGUAUUGUGUUUUCUCCAGCCAUCCUUGUGGAGAACUUUUCUUGCAUUAAUUUGUAGGGAUUGGGACCCGCAUCGUUUACUGUGAAAAAAUUAGAGUGUUUAAAGCAGGCAAUCGCUUGAAUACAUUAGCAUGGAAUAAUAAGAUAGGACUUUGGUACUAUUUUGUUGGUUUGCAUACCAAAUUAAUGAUCAACAGGAACAGUUUGAGGAUAUUCGUAUGAACAUGUCAGAGGUGAAAUUCUUGGAUUUUGAUCAGACGAACUACUGCGAAAGCAUUUAGCAAGGAUGUUUUCAUUGA